CCUACGGGAGGCAGCAGUGGGGAAUAUUGCACAAUGGGGGGAACCCUGAUGCAGCAACGCCGCGUGGGUGAAGAAGUACUCCGGUAUGUACAGCCCUGUCAGCCGGGGAGAAAAUGACGGUACCUGACCAAGAAGCCCCGGCUAACUACGUGCCAGCAGCCGCGGUAAUACGUAGGGCGCAAGCGUUAUCCGGAUUUACUGGGUGGAAAGGGAGCGUAGACGGCAAGGCAAGUCUGGAGGGAAAGCCCGGGGCCCAACCACGGGACUGCUUUGGAAACGGUGUUGCUGGAGUGCAGGAGGGGUAAGCGGAAUGCCUAGUGUAGCGGUGAAAUGCGUAGAUAUUAGGAAGAACACCGGUGGCGAAGGCGGCUUACUGGACUGUAACUGACGUUGAGGCUCGAAGGCGUGGGGAGCAAACAGGAUUAGAUACCCCAGUAGUC
rnacentral:rRNA from 1 species